rnacentral:lncRNA from 1 species
AUGGGCGUGUCUCAGAGGCCUCCCUCCCCCCACAAGCCGGGUGGACAUCGCUGAGGCUUGGAAAAGAUUUCCUCCGGGGAAAAUCCCUCCGGAGUUCUCCAGUCUGGUGUCAGAGAGGAAUACUAAAGAAGAAGGAGAAAUUCAAGGUACAAGAGAGGCAAAGAAUGUUGCUCCUACAAAGGAACUCUCCUGACAGAAGUCCACAGAGGACAGAUGGAUGGGGAUGAUUUCCACACUAGUUCCUAACUUUAAAUAAAACCAAGCCUGCAGCGUAUCAUCCUGCAUCUCUGAAACUGAAGCCAACUUGAUCAGCGUGGAUAAUCUUUCUGAUAUUUUCUGGAAUUUCGUUUGGAAACAUGUCCUUCAACAGAGGAAUGGAUACAGAAAUUGUGGUACAUUUACACAAUGGAGUACUACUCAGCUAUUAAAAACAAUGAAUUAAUGAAAUUCUUAGGCAAAUGUAUGGAACAGAACAUUUCAUCCCGAGUGAGGUAACCCAGUCACAAAAGAACACACAUGGUAUGCACUCACUGAUAAGUGGAUAUUAGCCCAGAAGCUCAGAAUACUCAAGAUACAAUUCACAGACCACAUGAAGCUCAAGAAGAAGGAAAGCCAAAGUUUGGCUGCUUUGGUCCUGCUUAGAAGGGGGAACAAAAUACUCAUGGGAGCAAAUAUGGAGACAAAGUGUGGAGCAGAGACAGAAGGAAUGACCAUCCAGAGACUGCCACACCUGGGGAUCCAUCCCAUAUACAGUCACCAACCCCAGACACUAUUGUCGACACCAAGAAGUGCAUGCUGACAGGAGCCUAAUAUAGCUGUCUCUUGAGAGGCUCUGCCAGAGCCUGAUAAAUACAGAAUGAUGCUCGCAACCAACCUUUGAAGUGAGCAUAGGGUCCCCAAUGGAGGAGUUAGGGGAAGGACUAAAGGAGCUGAAGAAGUUUGCAACCCCAUAGGAAGAACAAAAUUAUCAACCAACCAGACGCCCCCAGAGCUCCCAGGGACUAAACCACUAACCAAGGACUACACAUGGAGGAACCCAUGGGUCCAGUGCAUAUGUAGCAGAGGAUGGCCUUGCUGGUCAUCAAUGGGUAAAGAGGCCCUUGGUCUGGUGAAGGUUCGAUGCCCCAGUGUAGAGGAAUGCAAGGGCAGGGAAGCAGGAGUGGGUGGGUGGGGGAAGCUCCCUCAUAGAAGCAAGGGGCGGGGGAUGAGAUAGGAGGUUUCCAGAGAGGAAACCAGGAAAGGGGAUAUUAUUUGGAAUAUAAAUAAAGAAAAUAUCCAAUAAAAAAGAUUUUUUGCAUUUAUACUCA